ACUGUGUAGAACAUCAUCCUUAGAACCCAUGUGGAUAUAGUUUCCAUGUAAUUCAUCUCCUUGACCAAAAUAAUCAUAGGACACCUCAGAGUUUAACUGUCAACUCUGAUCAGGUUGUCCACAUUGUAUUUCAAAAUAUCAAAUCCAUCUGAUGGAUUACCCUGGCCAAGGUUUUGCUAAAUUGAAAUACAGUGACUCAUUCUUCUCCAACUCUUGAAGUGGUCAAUCCCAUCUCGAUCAUACUCUGACUUUAUAAGUACUUGACUAUGCCC
rnacentral:lncRNA from 1 species